CCUACGGGAGGCAGCAGUGGGGAAUAUUGGACAAUGGGCGAAAGCCUGAUCCAGCAAUGCCGCGUGAGUGAUGAAGGCCUUCGGGUCGUAAAGCUCUUUUACCAGGGAUGAUAAUGACAGUACCUGGAGAAUAAGCUCCGGCUAACUCCGUGCCAGCAGCCGCGGUAAUACGGAGGGAGCUAGCGUUGUUCGGAAUUACUGGGCGUAAAGAGUACGUAGGCGGUUAUUCAAGUCAGAGGUGAAAGCCCGGGGCUCAACCCCGGGAACUGCCUUUGAAACUAGAUAACUAGAGUCUUGGAGAGGUUAGUGGAAUUCCGAGUGUAGAGGUGAAAUUCGUAGAUAUUCGGAAGAACACCAGUGGCGAAGGCGACUAACUGGACAAGUACUGACGCUGAGGUACGAAAGCGUGGGGAGCAAACAGGAUUAGAUACCCUGGUAGUCCACGCCGUAAACGAUGAUAACUAGUUGUUCGGUCACUUGGUGACUGAGUGACGCAGCUACGCAUUAAGUUAUCCGUCCGUCGGGUAGGUACGGUCGCGAGAAUAAACUACAAGAAGUAGACGGCGNGAGACGNGCCGACGGACGACGACGAGGGAGGUAGG
rnacentral:rRNA from 1 species